rnacentral:rRNA from 1 species
AUUGAACGCUGGCGGCAUGCCUUACACAUGCAAGUCGAACGGCAGCGGACCUUCGGGUGCCGGCGAGUGGCGAACGGGUGAGUAAUAUAUCGGAACGUACCUUUCAGUGGGGGAGUAACGUAGCGAAAGUUACGCUAAUACCGCAUAUUCUGUGAGCAGGAAAGCAGGGGAUCGCAAGACCUUUGCGCUGAUUGAGCGGCCGAUAUCAGAUUAGCUAGUUGGUGAGGUAAAGGCUCACCAAGGCGACGAUCUGUAGCGGGUCUGAGAGGAUGAUCCGCCACACUGGAACUGAGACACGGUCCAGACUCCUACGGGAGGCAGCAGUGGGGAAUUUUUGGACAAUGGGCGCAAGCCUGAUCCAGCCAUGCCGCGUGAGUGAAGAAGGCCUCGGUUGUAAGACUCUUUCGGUCCGGGAA